CAAUAGCGUAUAUUAAAGUUGUUGCAGUUAAAAAGCUCGUAGUUGGAUUUCUGUCUGAGCUGACCGGUCUGCUCUUCGAGUGGGACCUGGCUCAUCUUGGACAUCCUUCUGGAGCGUCUGUGCCUCACGGCACGGAUGAUUCCAGAGCCUUUACUUUGAGAAAAUUAGAGUGUUUCAAGCAAGCAUUUGCUUUGAAUACUGCAGCAUGGAAUAAUCUUAUAGGACUUCGUUCCUAUUUGUUGGUUCUAGGACUGAAGUAAUGAUUAAUAGGGACAGUUGGGGGCAUUCGUAUUUAACUGUCAGAGGUGAAAUUCUUGGAUUUGUUAAAGACGAACUACUGCGAAAGCAUUUGCCAAGGAUGUUUUCAUUAA
rnacentral:rRNA from 1 species